rnacentral:rRNA from 1 species
UACGGAGGGGGCUAGCGUUGUUCGGAAUUACUGGGCGUAAAGCGCACGUAGGCGGCUUUGUAAGUUAGAGGUGAAAGCCCGGGGCUCAACUCCGGAAUUGCCUUUAAGACUGCAUCGCUAGAAUUGUGGAGAGGUAAGUGGAAUUCCGAGUGUAGAGGUGAAAUUCGUAGAUAUUCGCAGGAACACCAGUGGCGAAGGCGGCUUACUGGUCCAUACUGACGCUGAGG